rnacentral:rRNA from 1 species
UAGUGGCGGACGGGUGAGUAACGCGUGAGUAACCUGCCUUUCAGAGGGGAAUAACGUUCUGAAAAGAACGCUAAUACCGCAUAACGUACAGUUACCGCAUGGUAGCAGUACCAAAGGAGCAAUCCGCUGAGAGAUGGACUCGCGUCCGAUUAGCUAGUUGGUGGGGUAAAGGCCUACCAAGGCGACGAUCGGUAGCCGGACUGAGAGGUUGAACGGCCACAUUGGGACUGAGACACGGCCCAGACUCCUACGGGAGGCAGCAUG